UACGAAGGGGGCUAGCGUUGCUCGGAAUCACUGGGCGUAAAGCGCACGUAGGCGGCUUCUUAAGUCAGGGGUGAAAUCCUGGAGCUCAACUCCAGAACUGCCUUUGAUACUGAGGAGCUUGGAGUCCGGGAGAGGUGGGUGGAACUGCGAGUGUAGAGGUGAAAUUCGUAGAUAUUCGCAAGAACACCAGUGGCGAAGGCGGCUCACUGGCCCGGUACUGACGCUGAGGUGCGAAAGCGUGGGGAGCAAACAGG
rnacentral:rRNA from 1 species